rnacentral:tRNA from 1 species
GGUGGCAUGGCCAAGUGGUAAGGCAGAAGCCUGCAAAGCUUCCACUCCCCAGUUCGAAUCUGGGUGCCACCU